CCUACGGGUGGCAGCAGUGAGGAAUAUUGGGCAAUGGACGAGAGUCUGAACCAGCCAAGUAGCGUGAAGGAUGACUGCCCUAUGGGUUGUAAACUUCUUUUAUAAAGGAAUAAAACGAGGCACGUGUGCCUUUUUGCAUGUACUUUAUGAAUAAGGAUAGGCUAACUCCGUGCCAGCAGCCGCGGUAAUACGGAGGAUCCGAGCGUUAUCCGGAUUUAUUGGGUUUAAAGGGAGCGUAGAUGGGUUGUUAAGUCAGUUGUGAAAGUUUGCGGCUCAACCGUAAAAUUGCAAUUGAUACUGGCAGUCUAGAGUACAGUUGAGGUAGGCGGAAUUCGUGGUGUAGCGGUGAAAUGCGUAGAUAUCACGAAGAACCCCGAUUGCGAAGGCAGCUUACUAAACUGUGACUGACAUUGAUGCUCGAAAGUGUGGGUAUCAAACAGGAUUAGAUACCCGUGUAGUC
rnacentral:rRNA from 1 species